rnacentral:rRNA from 1 species
CCUACGGGUGGCUGCAGUGGGGGAUAUUGCACAAUGGGGGAAACCCUGAUGCAGCGACGCCGCGUUAGUGAAGAAGUAUUUCGGUAUGUAAAGCUCUAUCAGCAGGGAAGAAAAUGACAGUACCUGACCAAGAAGCGCCGGCUAACUACGUGCCAGCUGCCGCGGUAAUACGUAGGGGGCAAGCGUUAUCCGGAUGUACUGGGUGCAAAGGGAGCGUAGACGGUUAUGUAAGUCUGGAGUGAAAGCCCGGGUCCUAACCCCGGUACUGCUUUGGAUACUGUGUAACUGGAGUACAGGAGGGGCAGGCGGAAUUCCUGGUGUAGCGGUGAAAUGCGUAGAUAUCAGGAGGAACGCCGGCGGCGAAGGCGGCCUGCUGGACUGAAACUGACGUUGAGGCUCGAAAGCGUGGGGAGCAAACAGGAUUAGAUACCCUGGUAGUC